UCCUUGGAGGACCAGUGGUUAGGCCACCGCACUCUCACCACCGCGGCCCAGGCUCGAUUCCCGGCCAGGGAC
rnacentral:tRNA from 1 species